AGCUACGGCCAUGCCACCCUGAACAUGCCGGAUCCUGUCUGAUCUCGGAAGCUUGGUCAGGCCUGGUUAGUACUUGGAUGGGAGACCACCUAGGAAGACCAGGUGCUGUAGGUG
rnacentral:rRNA from 1 species